rnacentral:ncRNA from 23 species
GUCGGGAUAGCUCAGUUGGUAGAGCAGA